AUUUUUUUGCUGGACAAUCUUGAUCUGGGCAUCUUUAACAAGGCACACAAUGUGCUCCCCAGGAUAAGCGACUUCGACCCUAAAUCGUUUAGUCGAAUGCUGACCAUGGUCCUCGAUCCUGUCAAAGGAUCUAAUUCCUACUCGCAUGCUAAUGUAGCACAACCCCCUUUUACUCCUGUGAUCAUUAUCUGUAUUUUUUUCUUGUUGCAUCAUGUGAAAUUUCUUGUCUCUGCCAAUGCAAUACAGUUUAAUUCUCGUACUCACGCUAGGUCUCCCCUUUACGGUUGUUGUCUUUUUGCUAGAUAAGAGAUGCUUCGACCGUAUGCUACACACGGUAGAAGUACCAGUCUCAGGCCUCGUCAUCGAUACUCAAGAGGCAGCCUAGGCUCUCCGGCACGCCAGCGGCUGCUCAGCAGCGGAACACCAGUCCCCCAACAGCCAUUGGUGCAGUUCCUGGUCCACUAGAAUUUGCUAAAUACCUUCGGGAGAAGUACCCACACCUUGUAACUGGAGAUCACCAUGGUAUUAAAACAACACAAGGCGAGCGCCAUUAUGCACUUAACGAAAGCUAGGAACUCCAUCCAGCAGGCUCUGUUAGAAGCGAAAAAUGGGUUGCAGAUGGAUAUGUACAAGUUAUCAGAUAAAGUAAUCAAUUCAGUCGCCACACGAUGUGUGUGCUGUCGCGUGAGGGGCUUUAAUGAUUGCCCUGCAUCAGGUACAUAUCCCCCUUUACAUCAUCCGCUAAUUCCAAGUCAGUACGCUUUAACACGCCAGCUGUACAAAGGAUACAUGGUCGAAGGCUUGAAUUGUUAGAUAACGAAGCUACAUCACCUGGUCCCAACCGGAAACGCCCCCACAACAUCGACGAUUGCACAUCUGUCAGCAAGAAGUCCUCAUCAGGAGCAUCGGGCGGUCUACUCAAUUUUUUCAAGACAAACCUAAUGGCAAUAGCUCAACUCUAUGCGGAUCUCCCAGCCAACACACCCGCUACUGUAUUUGGCCAAUGUUGCACCAACUUACAGAAGCGGAAGUAUGUAUUCCAGCAUGGUUUUGCAACUGAUCCAUGGGGAAAGGGAGUUGUGCCACACCCCCCGCAUGGCCCAACCACGGACCUCCUUGCUGCCCAUUUAUCGAAGCUGCCUGAACAAGAUCUUCAGAGGAUCUACAUUAUUCACGCCAGUCCUAGGUUUAUACGCACCUCUGGGUUGGCUAUCAGUCAGCAGUUAGUUGGCACGCGGGGUCUCCACCACGAGCUCAUGUCUAUCAUCAUGCGAAGGUAUACACAGUCUGAUCAGGAAGCCAAUUCCGAAUGCCCAUACAUGAAAUGGAGGCACAACAUGGAACCUGACUUCGCGAAAAUUGUCCUAGCGGACCAUGAAUAUGUGACAAAACAUAUCCAUCCAGAACCAGCUCGUUGGCAAGGAUAUCCCGUACGACAUAACUUCCUGUAUGUUUUUCUUACCAGUCCCGCUGGAGGAUGGCUGGAUAGCACUGAUGUGGGACAUGAUGGAGAGGAAGCUCCAUGUCCUUCACCCACUCAUCAAAGGUGAUGGUCCUAGCGAACCAACGAAAGACAAGCUCGAGCUGGUUGCCUGGAAACUUCACCACGCGCUGUUCGACUGCCUUAAUGAGUAUUAUGCUGGAUGGCCCACGCAAGAUGGCCAGUGGGUGACCAAGUACCCAGUCUUAGCUGAAGAAAAUUUUAGCAGAGAUGAAACUGGCGCGUGUGUGCUCCAUAUCUGCCGACACUAUGAUGGCGUCAAUCUGAAGAUUCCCCUUACCAAGAUAGUUCUGAACUGCUUGCUGGAAACGAGAGGUUGAACCACCAGCUCCAGAUGGCAACAUCUUGGAGGCAAUUACCAGCACCAUCACGACGGAAUGAAGGUCCAGGACGGCAGUUUGUUUGCACGUCCAAGGCUCGCGGACGAGGUGUGACAUGCGGUCCAAGCUCUCUUGCAUCACCACGCUCGGUUGCAUGCUCACCGGCUUCCACACUGGAGGUUGAUCGUCACCACCAUCUACAGAAAGAAAAAGAAACAGGCGCAUAAGGACAGCACGCCUGACAUGGAACUCGGCUGGGCAGAAUUUUUUCUUUGAUUCCGCACAAGCAUUUUACCUCUGCCAUCACGAUGAAAGGAAGGUGCAGAACGACAUGAUGUCUGAACAUCUAGUGCGUGCGGACGGGUCGCAUGCUGGACUCGGUCAAGAAGUUCUUGUCUGCUGGGACGGGCAUCUUCUCAGUAUUCAGUGCCACGCCAACCCAAUAAGAUUGGCCCAUUGGGAGGAGGGUCUUCAUCUUCAUCAUCUCCCGGCCUUGCGCUCCCAACCACAUCGUUGCUGGAAAAAAGAGUAAAGAGGAAUCCACCAGGCUCGCCGACUACAUCAUGCCAGUCUUCAUCCAGAUGAUCGAAUUCAUCCUGGGGUUUUGUCUGUUCAUGAAGAAAGGAAAGUUUCUUUGUGAAAUGGCACAUGUGUUGCUAGAUGGCAACCUGACUAAGAAAUAUCUUUUUGUUACUCAUGUGGAAAAGGAUUUGUUUCCUUACGGGGAAUAUGCCUGGGUACUCCCUGAUGAGAAAAAUAAGCCUCCUGCAUAUCUCUCCUGUGUAAACGCUGAUCCGUGGGACUGUGUGCUGUUCUACGUUAUAUACCCCGAAGUCAAUCCAGUCGAAGAACCAUGGCUGUCAGAUAUGCAAACAACACAGGAAUCAAAAUUCAGAUGUUAGAUCAAGAAUUAGGCGCCACAAACCACGAAAGGAAAAAUAUAGAAACAUCUUAUUUUUUAUGUAAAUGUUACUUACAAGCAGUCCCAAGUGGCUGCCUCCUAUUCAUUAUUGAGGAAAUCGUUAACUGGUA